AACGUAGGUGGCAAGCGUUAUCCGGAUUUACUGGGCGUAAGCGUGUGCAGGCGGGGGUACAAGUGGUGUAUGAAAUUUCCCAGCUUAACUGGGAAGGGUUAUGCCAGACUGUACUUCUGGAGUGCGAGAGAGGGGCGUGGAAUUCCGGGUGUAGUGGUGAAAUGCGUAGAGAUCCGGAGGAACCCCAGAGGCGAAGGCGGCGCCCUGGCUCGCAACUGACGCUCAGACACGACAGCAUGGGGAGCGAACGGG
rnacentral:rRNA from 1 species